rnacentral:rRNA from 1 species
GGAACCGGGAGAGGUAAGAGGUACGUACAGGGGUAGGAGUGAAAUCUUGUAAUCCCUGUGAGACCACCUGUGGCGAAGGCGUCUUACCAGAACGGGUUCGACGGUGAGGGACGAAAGCUGGGGGCACGAACCGGAUUAGAUACCCGGGUAGUCCCAGCCGUAAACGAUGCUCGCUAGGUGUCAGGCAUGGCGCGACCGUGUCUGGUGCCGCAGGGAAGCCGUGAAGCGAGCCACCUGGGAAGUACGGCCGCAAGGCUGAAACUUAAAGGAAUUGGCGGGGGAGCACAACAACGGGUGGAAGCCUGCGGUUUAAUUGGACUCAACGCCGGACAACUCACCGGGGGCGACAGCAAUAUGUAGGCCAAGCUGAAGACUUUGCCUGAAUCGCUGAGGAGAGGUGCAUGG